rnacentral:rRNA from 1 species
GACAGAGGUGCCGAGCGUUAGGCGGAAUCACUGGGCUUAAAGCGUGUGUAGGCGGGCCGUUAAGUAUCUUGUGAAAUCCCCCGGCUCAACCGGGGAAUGGCUGGAUAUACUGGCGGUCUUGAGCGAUCUAGGGGCAGAUGGAACAAGUGGUGGAGCGGUGAAAUGCGUAGAUAUCACUUGGAACGCCAAAGGUGAAAACAGCUCGCUGGGGCUGCGCUGACGCUGAGACACGAAAGCCAGGGGAGCGAACGGG